rfam:Chaetomium globosum CBS 148.51 scaffold_16 mitochondrial scaffold, whole genome shotgun sequence.
AGCGCGUUAGCCUAAUUGGUAAGGCAUAGUGCUACGGAUACUCAUAUUAUGAGUUCGAAUCUCAUACGUGCUU